rnacentral:lncRNA from 1 species
UUAUGUUUUCCAAUAAUUGUUCACACUUACUACUGAGUACUUACUAUGUGGCAAUCUGAGGGCUUUACAAAGAUUAACUUAUUUAUUCUUCAUAAAAAUGUGUGGUAAGUUAUCACUAGGAGGAAUCUGAGGCAUAAAGAAGUGGAGUACUUUGUCCAAAAGCAGAGCUGGGAAAUGGUGUAGCUGGGAUUAUGAAUCUAGGAUAUUUGGCUUCAGGGGCUGCCUGUCCUAACCAUUCUGGAUAAAGGGAAGUCAUCUCUGCUCACAGUAAGCUUACUGAAGCCCUUCAGGAUCAGUUCAUCGUCAUAGUCAGUCAAAAGUCAGAUCCACCAACCAUCAUUCCUAUGUAAACUGAAACCUCAGUUGUCAAAUCUCUACCUCCUGGUGGGCUAUGGCUAGCCUGCCUCUGCCACCCUCUGUAUUCUUUCAAGUACUCCAAUAGUAGGUCCUCCCAUGUUCCCCCUUGCAUUUCCAAAGUCACCAUGUUCCUGGAAUGUGGAAUUUUCCACGAACUGGGCUACCUUUGCAAUAGCUUAUCAGAAGCAAACAAGCUUGGGGAAUUGAGCAAGAAAUUCUAGGACAACAACCUUACAGAAGGAGCGAGGGAUGCAGGGUGCAUGUUGACUGUCUCAAUGGGACAAAGAUAAUGAUUAAUCAGACCUCCUGCAGAUUUAAAUAGGAUGGGGCCUGGAAGAGGAGGCAGUCUUCCUUUCUUUCAGCUGGGUGCUUCUCUUGAGUCAGACCUACCCACGGCAGAGAUGUUUUCCGUGAGGGACCUCUGCCUGGUCCUGAGUUUGGUGGGUGCAAUUCAGACAGCAGAUGAUAGUGAUCCUGUCGGCGGUGAAUUUUUAGCUGAAGGAGGAGGGGUGCGUGGCCCAAGACUUGUGGAAAAACAGCAAUCUACCUGCAAAGAGACAGGCUGGCCCUUCUGCGCUGAUGAAGACUGGGGUGAAAAAUGCCCUUCUGGCUGCAGGAUGAAAGGACUGAUUGAUGAAGUCAAUCAAGAUUUUACAGGCAGAAUAAAUAAACUAAGAGAUUCACUAUUUAAUUAUCAGAAGACCAAUAAGGACUCUAAUACAUUGACCAAGAACAUAGUGGAAAUUUUGAGAGGGGAUUUUGCCAAAGCUAACAACAAUGAUAAUACAUUUAACCAAGUAUCAGAAGAUCUGAGAAGCAGAAUUGAGAUCCUAAGGCGCAAAGUCAUAGAGCAAGCACAACAUAUCAACCUUCUGCAGAAAAAUGUCAAGAAUCAACUGGUAGAUAUGAAACGAUUGGAGGUGGACAUUGAUAUUAAGAUCCGAUCUUGCAAAGGGUCAUGCAGUAGAGCUUUAGAACAUAAGGUAGAUCUGGAGGACUAUAAAAAUCAGCAGAAGCAACUUGAACAGGUUAUUGCCAUAAACUUACUUCCCUCUAGAGACACUCAAUACUUAUCACUGAUAAAAAUGAGUGCAGUUACAGGCCCUGUACCCAGAGAGUUAAAGAGCCAGCUUCGAGAGGCCCCUCCAGAAUGGAAGGCACUGCUGGAAAUGCAGCAGAUGAAAAUGGUGUUGGAAAAUUUCGGUGGCGAUGGACAUGCCAGAGGAGACUCUGUAUCUCACAGAACAGGAUUAGCACCAGAAAGUCCCAGGAAGCCUGGAACCGGUAGUAUAGGAAAUGUGAACCCUGGGAGCUACGGACCUGGAAGUAGUGGCACUUGGAGCCCCGGCCACCCCGAGCCCGGAAGUGCUGGCACCUGGAACACCGGCCGCCCCGAGCCCGGAAGUGCUGGCACCUGGAACACCGGCCGCCCCGAGCCCGGAAGUGCUGGCACCUGGAACACCGGCCGCCCCGAGCCCGGAAGUGCUGGCACCUGGAACACCGGCCGCCCCGAGCCCGGAAGUGCUGGCACCUGGAACAUCGGCAGCCCCGAGCCCGGAAGUGUUGGCAUUCGGAAUACUGGAAGCUCUGGAUCUUCAAGUUUUAGGCCAGAUAGCUCAGGUCAUGGGGGGAACAUUAGGCCUUCCAGUCCAGACUGGGGCACCUUUAGAGAGGAAGGAAGUGUAAGCUCAGGGACAAAGAAAGAGUUCCACACAGGUAAACUUGUCAGUGCUAAAGGAGAAAAAGAGCUUCUCAUCGGUAAUGAGAAGGUCAGCUCUGGUCACGCAACUACCACUCGUCGUUCAUGCUCUAAAGUCAUUACAAAGACUGUCACAAAUGCCGAAGGUCACACAGAAACGACCAAAGAAGUGGUCAAGUCUGAAGAUGGUUCUGACUGUGGUGACGCAGACUUUGACUGGGACCAUACUUUUUCUACGAGGGGUAACCUAGAGGAUUUCUUUCAUAGAAACAGUGAUGGUUUCUUCACCCAUAAGUUACACGAGUUUGACGGUAAGACACGCUUAGAAUCCGAUGUUCCAGACUUAAGGGAAAUUGGCUCUUCCGGUAGUAAAACUUCAGCUCACAGCAAACAGUUUCUAAGCAGUAGCACAACUAUCAGCAGAGGUGGCUCUGCGCUUGAAAGCAAGAACUUUAAAAUGGCAGAUGAGGCCGAAAGCAUAGAGGAUCUUGGCAUUAAAGGAGCACAUGCCACCAAGACAGGCCACGCUAAAGCUCGUCCUGCCAGAGACUGUUAUGAUGUCCUCCAAACACAUCCUUCAGGUGCCCAAAGUGGCAUUUUCAGUAUCAAGCUACCAGGAUCCAGUAAAAUUUUUUCUGUUUAUUGCGAUCAAGAGACCGGUUUGGGAGGAUGGCUUUUGAUCCAGCAAAGAAUGGAUGGAUCACUGAAUUUUAACCGAACCUGGCAAGACUACAAGAGAGGUUUCGGCAGCCUAAAUGACAAGGGAGAAGGAGAAUUCUGGCUAGGCAAUGAAUACCUCCACUUACUAACCCUGAGGGGCUCCAUCCUUAGGGUUGAAUUAGAAGACUGGGCUGGGAAAGGGGCUUAUGCAGAAUAUCACUUGAGAGUAGGCUCUGAGGCAGAGGACUAUGCCCUGGAGGUCUCCUCUUACAAGGGCACAGCAGGUGAUGCGCUGAUUGAGGGUUCUGUGGAGGAAGGGACAGAGUACACUUCUCACACUGGCAUGCGGUUCAGCACCUUCGACAGGGAUGCAGACAAGUGGGAAGACAACUGCGCUGAAGUCUACGGAGGAGGCUGGUGGUACAACAACUGCCAGGCAGCCAAUCUCAAUGGCAUCUACUAUCCUGGCGGCUCCUAUGACCCCAGGGACAACAGUCCCUAUGAGAUUGAGAAUGGUGUGGUCUGGGUCCCCUUCAGAGGUGCAGAUUAUUCUCUCAGGGCUGUUCGUAUGAAAAUCCGGCCCCUUGUGACACAAUAGGCUGAAGGAGUGGAAGUGAGAGGACUCUAUUUAGUGAAGAAGAGAAAAAAUUAAGGAAGAGAAAGGAGUUGAGAUUCUUUACAGCCUACUAAAAAUUCUCAGGUGCUAUUUUAUUAUUCUUUGUAUUGUAGCUAAAUGUAACUGAGACAUAGUAGUGUUUAUAAAAUAAAGCUAUAUGAGUUUUUAAUCUUUAAAAUAGU